CGGCAUCUCCACACUCUGCAUAAAGUGCAGAACGUUCCUCAUGGAAAUACUUUGAAUCAGAGCAUCUUUAUAAGGAGAUGCUGAUUGGCGCAGCACGGCAUUAGCCUUCCAAUGUUUUCCUGGCUGGACACCUAAAUGGAGUUUUCCCACCUACAGUGUCAGUAAUACACCCUGUAUUCCUGACACUAUUGUAUUCCUUUCAGUAGUUUGUUUUUCGCAGUAAGAAUGUCAUUGGUGGAAAGUGAAACUAUCCACUUGUAAUUACGGCUGACUGCUAUAGAAUGCUCUAAAGGGUUCCAAAUAAUAUGUAAUACAAAACGUGGGUUUGCUCACCAGUCUCGGACUGAAGCUGGACUGGACAUCAGGCGACCAUAUCUGAGGUGGGAGUACAAGUCAGCCUUUGACCUGGUGAUAAAUCUGCUCUAGAGAGCAUCAACAUUCAAAGGAUAAAAAGACACUUUUCCUUUAUUAGACAAAGCGUGUGAGUACGCCCAGGGUGAAGUAUGUUUUGAAUUAUUAUUCCUUAAGUCGAUUCCAUGGAAAUUCUUUUAAAACACAAUUUCCAAAUAAAAGAGUCUAGUGAGU